UAGACCCACCUUACUAUAAGAACCAGAGUUGAUACUAUAAGAACCCAGGCAUAAAGCAAAGGGAACAGCAUGGCACCUGGUGACUACUGCUCCAAGAUGGGCUGUCUCUAACCUGACCCCAAGAGAAGUUACAAUUCCCAGCUGCAACAGUCUAUGCCACCACCUGACCAUCCUGGAAACUCCAUCACGUGUGAGUGAGUGUAUCACACUUGCCGUGAGUGCAGCUACUUCUCACUGAGAGAAAAAGAUCACCUGGCAGAAAACAAUGAGGAAGUUUGGGGGAAAUGCUGAGUUAAGCAGUCAAAAUAUGUGGGUAUUGCCUUAUCCCUUGGUGACUGUCAGAAAUGAUUCUACCAUGAGAAGAUCUCUAGUCCAAUGAAAGUGAACUUGACCUAGGGAAGCUACCGGGACUGAGUGGUUAUCUGAUCAGAGCUCACGUGUUUAUUUCAAGUACAAUCUCUGCCUCGAAAGCCAAGCCGGCAGUCUCAGGUUUACUGAAAACGAUGGAGCUGGCAAUAAUGAUCUGGUUCCCUGGUAGGUUUACAGACCAAUGCAUAGGCACUGUUUCAUCCUGGUCUGCUGUGAUAAAUGAUCGCCUUUCCUUGCUCCAAAUAGGAUUAUGUCCCUGAUUAAUAACAAAUGUGGAGACUCAGACCCCGAAGCAAGGCGAAGGCAACAAGUUCUCAACCACCAGCACAUUCGUCUCAUAUCCGCUAUGAGACAAAAAGGAGUCACUGAACUCAGAGCAGACAUAGCAAACCUUUCAAGAACAAAGAGCAAGAUGGGGACUUGGUGGCAGACUCUGACAUGACAUUGCACGUUAGAUGAAAUGAGGAACAUUAACUCUCAAGUUGCCUGAGACAAACACACAUUCUCUGGUGCGUGAAAGCUGUGUAAUUCGCAGCGAGCGAGCCGCUCAUUUUUCUCUUCAGAUGUGGCCCAAGAAAAAUGUUGCUUUAUUUUCCUUAGUAGUUCAAAGGAGAUGGUUCAUGCCAGUAGGAAAUCAAGUCACCUCUUUUUUAAAAAACAUUUUCUUCUUCCACUUUCCUCUUUCUUUAUUGUUUCUGGGGUUCCGAAUCUCUCUUUAAGCAACUUCAAACAAAUCUCCCUAACAAAGUCAAGUCAAAUUUAAAAAUGUGCCAUGUUUUUCUGUGAAUAAACCAUGAUAACGUCAUC